rnacentral:rRNA from 1 species
GGGUUUCCGCCCCUUUAGUGCCGAAGUUACCGCAUUAAAGCGCUCCGCCUGGGGAGUACGGCCGCAAGGCUGAACCUCAAAGGAAUUGACGGGGGCCCGCACAAGCGGUGGAGCAUGUGGUUUAAUUCGAAGCAACGCGAAGAACCUUAGCAGGUCUUGACAUCCUCUGAAAACCCUAGAGAUAGGGCUUCUCCUUCGGGAGCAGAGUGACAGGUGGUGCAUGGUUGUCGUCAGCUCGUGUCGUGAGAUGUUGGGUUAAGUCCCGCAACGAGCGCAACCCUUGAUCUUAGUUGCCAUCAUUAAGUUGGGCACUCUAAGGUGACUGCCGGUGACAAACCGGAGGAAGGUGGGGAUGACGUCAAAUCAUCAUGCCCCUUAUGACCUGGGCUACACACGUGCUACAAUGGACGGUACAAAGAGCUGCAAGACCGCGAGGUGGAGCUAAUCUCAUAAAACCGUUCUCAGUUCGGAUUGUAGGCUGCAACUCGCCUACAUGAAGCUGGAAUCGCUAGUAAUCGCGGAUCAGCAUGCCGCGGUGAAUACGUUACCGGGCCUUGUACACACCGCCAGUCUCGCUCAGAGAAUUUAGACAUCCGAAGAGUUGUAGGCUAACCAGUCGUAACAAGGUAGCCGUAGAGUUACCGUCC